rnacentral:rRNA from 1 species
AGCUCCAAUAGCGUAUAUUAAAGUUGUUGCGGUUAAAAAGCUCGUAGUUGGAUUUCUGCUGAGGACGACCGGUCCGCCCUCUGGGUGAGCAUCUGGCUCGGCCUUGGCAUCUUCUUGGAGAACGCUACUGCACUUGACUGUGUGGUGCGGUAUCCAAGACUUUUACUUUGAGGAAAUUAGAGUGUUUCAAGCAGGCAUGUGCCUUGUAUACAUUAGCAUGGAAUAAUGAGAUAGGACCUUGGUUCUAUUUUGUUGGUUUCUAGAGCUGAGGUAAUGAUUAAUAGGGAUAGUUGGGGGCAUUCGUAUUUAACUGUCAGAGGUGAAAUUCUUGGAUUUGUUAAGGACGAACUACUGCGAAAGCAUUUGCCAAGGAUGUUUUCA